ACCAGUAAGUAGAUUCUACAGACUUUUCAUGUUUUUACAAAAACCAAUGAAUGAAAUUCAUGCAAUGUUCAUUCUGUGCAUAAUAAUCGUUUGCCCUUUAUUUGCAGUUCUGCAGUCCUGACUUUGGCUCAGAUUUUGCCAAUAACAUACAGGGUGCUGAAGGACCAUCUAUCAGCCCUGUAGAGCCCAGAUCUCCCUCACUUGCAAAUUUCAACCUGGGCCCAGUGUUGGGAGAAGGAGCAUUUGGGAAGGUAUUCCUAGCCGAGCACAAAAACACCAAAGAACUAUGUGCUAUCAAGGCCCUGAAAAAAGAGGAGAUUUUGAAAAAGGGCAACUUGGACAGGUCAGUGACAGGGGAAAGAUUAAUAUUGCCCGUAUCUGUGUCAUCUUUUCUUGUUAUAUUCAGCAUUAUAUGUAGGACAGGUUUCUCUUUCAAUAUUUAGUAUCUGUCUGACCUCUAAUUCCUUUAAAUUAUUUGCAUGUGGUUAUUAUCUGCUGUAUUGCCCUGUGUCUGUUCAUUAGGAUAAAGGGUAAGUGUAAUGUUCCCUUGUGUGAGUCUCACAUGGUGAUAAUGGAAUAAUUUAACCCACAGUGUCUUCAAAGAGAAGGAAAUCCUCCAGAGGGUGAGUUCUGCCGAACACCCGUUCCUAGUGUCAAUGCAUGGAACCUUCCAGACGGAGUCUCACCUAUUUUGUGUGAUGGAAUAUCUCCCUGGAGGUGACAUGUAUGAAUUUGUAACAUCUGUGGAACUGCAAGAACCUGACGUCAUGUAAGUAGAAUGGGAAUGAGGGAAUACGUUUCUCAAAGGGGCACUUUCAGUGAAGCAUCAUCACAGCAUAUAUUUUUACAAUGUAACGUAAUACAAGCAAAGCUACACCUAUCAUACAGAUAACUGCCUUUCAUCUCACUAUGAUCACCUCAAUUCUCACACAUCAGCUUAUAUAUCAAUAAAGAAAAAAAAAUUAAAGUAACUGAAUUUUAUUUUUUCUCUAUUCAGGUUUUACACCGCAUGUGUCAUUCUUGGCCUGGAGGCAUUACACCACCUUGGCAUUGUCCAUAGAGAUAUAAAGCUUGAGAAUUUGCUGUUGGACCGGGAUGGCUACCUUAAGAUCGUAGACUUCGGCCUCAGCAAAGACAGAUUUGGAUACAGCGACCGCACAAACACCAUGUGCGGCACAAAAGCUUACAUCGCCCCUGAGAUCUUCCUGAAACACGGAUACGGCAUGGCCGUUGACUGGUGGGCCCUAGGAAUUACCACCUAUAUAAUGCUCAUGUGUGAGGUAAGCACAAUUCCUAUAUUAUCAACUUACAUUGGGGAAUCAUUGGGGUUCAUAUUGCAACAAAUCUCUUGGGAAUGUUGUUUCGCUAAAGAAAUAAUUAUUCACUUUUUCAGUUACCAUUCAACAACGAAGACCCAGUUGAGCUAAUGCAGAGCAUCCUGUACGACGACAUCGAGUUACCAGAAUAUCUAUCAGAGGAUGUCUCUGCAUUUAUAAAAGACCUUUUAGAAAAAGAUCCAGAAUAUCGCCUCGGUUCGGGUGAGGCUGGUGCAGAAAUGGUGAAAGAGCACCCCUUCUUCAAAGUAGGUUUCUAUUCUAUUCCUUUCAAUUUACAAACAGAAAAGCACUAAUGAAUAUUGCCAUAGCCUCGUAAUGCAUUAUAAUUUCUUGUACCAGCAAUUCUAGUUUUUGGACCAGAUACUCAUCAUUAAAUAUUACCUUUUCAUUUAACUUUCAGGAUAUGGACUGGGACCAUCUAGUACACCGAAGAAUAAGGCCUCCAUUUGAACUGGACAACCAAGACCACCUGGAGAGCCAAGAGAACCCUGAAUGCCAAGCUCCAGCACUGACACCGCCUGCUGUAAGGAUUCCAUCAGAGCUGCAAGAGGCAUUCAGAGGAUUCUAAAUGAACAUCAAAUAAGUAGACGGAAUAGAUGGGGAGGGUGGAGGGCCAGUCCAUAUCUAUAGAAGAAGUCCAUUCAUGAAGAUCAGAGAUCUAGAAUAUCGAAGAUCCAGAAUACCUAGAAAGAUCCA